UGGUGCCAGGGGAUCCACAGCAGAUAAAACAGCUAUGAAUCUGCAAGGAAAAAUACCCAACACCACCCCUUCCUCUGAGCAGGCUUCCUGCUUCAUCCUGCACCUGCCUCCUUGAAAGAAAACAAGACAUCAGAUACUUAUUCAAAUAAUGCAAUAGCUGAUCAGCAGAGUAUCUACACAAUGGUGUUGAGAUUUCAUCACACUGGAGGGCAGUGAGGCUCUGCUUCAAGCAGAUAAGGUGUUUUGUGUUGGUGGAAAGACAGGUGAGCAUACAAAUAAGUGGAAAGUGGGCUUUAGGUAGGUGUCCUUCUUUGUGUAAUUCCAUAUCAACGUGGAAGUUUUGAUACAUAUUAUGGAUUUUGAGUGGAAAUGGAAGAAUGUGGAAAAUGCAUUAAUAGAUUGUGCAUUGCUUUUAGAAACUCCCUCCAGCCCCCGUAUUAAAGCCUAAAGAGGAUUGAAAGCCUCAUGCUGUAUUUCUUCAGAAUGUUUAAAAAUGUUAAAGACCCAUAGUUGAUCUAAAUAAAUAAACAAAGUAUGAGAACUAUUUUUCCUAUCCUGCUUCUGUUUUCCUGGAGAAGGUAUUUUGUCAUUUCAGUUACUUUAUGAGUGGGACCUAUAAUGUAGAUAACUACUUACUGCUCUGCUCUUUUAUUGGAAGCCAGAGAACUUGAGGGGUUUAGUUCCUCAGGCUCCCAGCAACCUCUCACUUUAAAGGGUGUGAAACAUUUUGUCUGUCAUCAGGAGUGCAUAAAGGAGUAUGUUAAUUUGUAGUAGGAGAUUUUUGUCAACCUGACAUGUUUAAUUUGGCUCCAUCAUGUAAAUUAUGCUAACCAUACAGUGUUCAAUUGGAUAAUGCCUACCUGAUGUCUGUUUCAUGAGUAGAACUUCCAAUUACUGAGCAAAGCCAAAGUGGUCUUAUAAAGGAAGUUACAUUUGCAAGGGAAUGAUUAAAAAUGACAGUUCCUUCUUGAGAUCUCAGCAAAACUUCUCUGCUGGUAACACAAACGGCAUGAACCAAGAGAAGACAGGAGGGAUAUACAUAUCUGGGCAGAAUCCCAAAGGACUGACAUUGUAUAUAUGCUGCAUAAGGAAAAUAGUGGGAUCUGGGGAUAUGGUGUCUUCCACACAGAGGUCUAAGUGUAGACUGAAUAAAAUCUGUGAGAAAUUUCAGGGAUUGGCAUCCAGGCCCUGCUGGCCUAGAAGGCACUGGAGAUCUGGAACUAGAAGAAACUGGGUUAAACUGUAAAUAGGUCCAGAUCCUCUAACUCAUCAGAGCUCCAAUGAAUGUGUCAAGUGACCUAUUACUGUUAAGGAAGUUGAGGAGAGCUUGUGACUUAGUCUGACCAUGAUGUGCAUAUCAGGUGAAAGUCGAUGUGAGAACCACAUGUUUGAUUUGGACCCUGAAAAUAACUACUACUUUGUUUUCUACAGAGAUCAGAGAGGAUCCUGCCUUCCUGUCCCCCAAAGAUCUGCAUAUCAGUUUUUAAAGCUCAAGGAAAAAGCAUCAUUUCAGUUGUAUGGUGGGAUACAAAAAUUGCAAAUGCUAGCUGCUUUUUCUGUCUCGGUGAAGUUAGUGAUGUUUCUCUGUUUCUCAAUGAUACAACUGCAGAAGGGAUGAGCAAUAUGCAGGCUUAGCCUCAUCUGAAAGUGACACAAAUAACCAGAAGUUUUUCCUUUGCCUGCAGUGGCCUUUUUUCUGUACAUUUGUACUAUAUGGCAAAUGAUAUGCAAAUUAAAUGAUUCAUACAAAUGAAUACAUAAUUAAAAGUUUAGAUGGUCUUUGGUACAUUAACAGUUUAAGUGACAAUGUAAAUUGUGAGCCAGAUAUUCAAUGGAAUGUCAACACUUGAACCAUUUGCAAAUCUGGAAAUAUUUGAUGAAAGUACUUGUGACAAGCUUUGAAUAAUUUAUAGGUUCAAUACGUUCACAGUCUGUCCACAAUGAUUCACUUAGAAAUAAAGGUGAAAUUCAUCAAAAA